UACGGAGGGUGCGAGCGUUAUCCGGAUUUAUUGGGUUUAAAGGGUGCGUAGGCGGAAUAAUCAGUCAGGGGUGAAAGUUUGUGGCUCAACCAUAAAAUUGCCUUUGAUACUGUUAUUCUUGAGUAUAUUUGAGGUAGGCGGAAUGUGAUGUGUAGCGGUGAAAUGCAUAGAUAUAUCACAGAACACCGAUUGCGAAGGCAGCUUACUAAACUAUAACUGACGCUGAUGCACGAAAGCGUGGGUAUCGAACAGG
rnacentral:rRNA from 1 species